rnacentral:rRNA from 1 species
GGAUUAGAUACCCUGGUAGUCCACGCCGUAAACGAUGCAUACUAGGUGUUGGCCUUUGGGUCAGUGCUGGCGUUAACGCAUUAAGUAUGCCACCUGGGGAGUACGUCGGCAACGAUGAAACUCAAAGGAAUUGACGGGGGCCCGCACAAGCGGUGGAGCAUGUGGCUUAAUUCGAUGCAACGCGAGGAACCUUACCUGGGCUAAAUCCACAGUGAUGUCUUCUGGAAACAGGAGGUCCCUUAGGGGCACUAUGGAAGGUGCUGCAUGGCUGUCGUCAGCUCGUGCCG